AUGCAGCAUAGUAUGACGAUUGACAAAUAUCGGGAGGAUCACAGUUUGCAGCCCGAGCACCCCGAGGACCCACAUAACUUGAACCACAGUGCCCCCUGGCACCCACGGCUGAUAUCCAGGGAGGCUUCCCCGCUUGACUCAGUCACAUCGUCCCAGCAAGCUGGGCCAAAAGACAGAUUCCUGCUGCAUCUGUCAGUGCAUGAUUUUUUUUCUGCAUUCUGUAACCCUUGGCCGUCUUUCGUCAGAAUUCCUAGAGUUCUUGUUUCCCGAAUCACAGCCCCGGAAUCCUUAAGUGAGAGGCCUAGUCAGUGCCUGGAGGCACCGGGCACAGAUUUUACUUAACAGUUUUACUCACAGGAAAUUAUACAUCAGGGAUACGUCUCUUCAUCAUUAUAUUUUACUGCCCACAAAAAGUGCUGGGUCCAUUUCAGUGUCCCAUCUUCCCUAACUCAGCAAAGCAAGAAUUCGAAAUCCAGGGAAGCAAAGCCACAGAGGCCCCGUGUGUCCCAGUAAACGUGGCUUUGAAGCAGAAUAAAAUUUGGACAGGUGGAACAGAAAGAUCAGAAAGUGACGUUUUCUGUUUGUUGGCGCACACACACACACACACACACACACACGCACACACGCACACACGCACGCACGCACAUACGCACGCACG
rnacentral:lncRNA from 1 species